rnacentral:rRNA from 1 species
ACGAACGCUGGCGGCGUGCUUAACACAUGCCAGUCGAACGGAAAGGCCCUGCUUUUGUGGGGUGCUCGAGUGGCGAACGGGUGAGUAACACGUGAGUAACCUGCCCUUGACUUUGGGAUAACUUCAGGAAACUGGGGCUAAUACCGGAUAGGAGCUCCUGCUGCAUGGUGGGGGUUGGAAAGUUUCGGCGGUUGGGGAUGGACUCGCGGCUUAUCAGCUUGUUGGUGGGGUAGUGGCUUACCAAGGCUUUGACGGGUAGCCGGCCUGAGAGGGUGACCGGCCACAUUGGGACUGAGAUACGGCCCAGACUCCUACGGGAGGCAGCAGUGGGGAAUAUUGCACAAUGGGCGGAAGCCUGAUGCAGCAACGCCGCGUGCGGGAUGACGGCCUUCGGGUUGUAAACCGCUUUCGCCUGUGACGAAGCGUGAGUGACGGUAAUGGGUAAAGAAGCACCGGCUAACUACGU